rfam:Candidate divison MSBL1 archaeon SCGC-AAA261C02 AAA261C02_Contig_11, whole genome shotgun sequence.
GCCGGGGUGGCAGAACCAGGCUAAUGCGCCGGCCUCGAGAGCCGGUAGUCCUUCGGGACUAUCAGGGUUCAAAUCCCUGCCCCGGCG